AACGAACGCUGGCGGCAUGCCUAACACAUGCAAGUCGAACGAGACCUUCGGGUCUAGUGGCGCACGGGUGCGUAACGCGUGGGAACCUGCCCUUAGGUUCGGAAUAACUCCCCGAAAGGGGUGCUAAUACCGGAUAAUGUCUUCGGACCAAAGAUUUAUCGCCUUUGGAUGGGCCCGCGUUGGAUUAGCUAGUUGGUAGGGUAAAAGCCUACCAAGGCGACGAUCCAUAGCUGGUCUGAGAGAAUGGUCAGCCACACUGGGACUGGGACGCGGCCCAGACUCCUACGGGAGGCAGCAGUGGGGAAUAUUGGACAGUGGGCGAAAGCCUGAUCCAGCAAUGCCGCGUGAGUGAUGAAGGCCUUAGGGUUGUAAAGCUCUUUUACCCGGGAUGAUAAUGACAGUACCGGGAGAAUAGGCUCCGGCUAACUCCGUG
rnacentral:rRNA from 1 species